UACGUAGGGGGCUAGCGUUGUCCGGAAUCAUUGGGCGUAAAGCGCGCGUAGGCGGCCCGGUAAGUCCGCUGUGAAAGUCCAGGGCUCAACCCUGGAAAGCCGGUGGAUACUGCCGGGCUAGAGUCCGGGAGAGGCGAGUGGAAUUCCUGGUGUAGCGGUGAAAUGCGCAGAUAUCAGGAGGAACACCGGUGGCGAAGGCGGGUCUCUGGGCCGAUACUGACGCUGAGGAGCGAAAGCGUGGGGAGCGAACAGG
rnacentral:rRNA from 1 species